rnacentral:piRNA from 1 species
UCCAUGUUCCGUUAAUUGCUUUGUGCC